UACGGAGGAUCCAAGCGUUAUCCGGAUUUAUUGGGCGUAAAGCGAGCGCAGACGGUUAUUUAAGUCUGAAGUGAAAGCCCUCAGCUCAACUGAGGAAUGGCUUUGGAAACUGGAUGACUUGAGUGCAGUAGAGGAAAGUGGAACUCCAUGUGUAGCGGUGAAAUGCUUAGAUAUCACGAAGAACUCCAAUUGCGAAGGCAGCUCACUGGGGUACAACUGACACUGAGGCGCGAAAGCGUGGGGAGCAAACAGG
rnacentral:rRNA from 1 species